rnacentral:rRNA from 1 species
UACGUAGGGGGCAAGCGUUGUCCGGAAUUAUUGGGCGUAAAGCGCGCGCAGGCGGUCCUUUAAGUCUGAUGUGAAAGCCCACGGCUCAACCGUGGAGGGUCAUUGGAAACUGGGGGACUUGAGUGCAGGAGAGGAAAGUGGAAUUCCAUGUGUAGCGGUGAAAUGCGUAGAUAUAUGGAGGAACACCAGUGGCGAAGGCGACUUUCUGGCCUGCAACUGACGCUGAGGCGCGAAAGCGUGGGGAGCAAACAGG